CCCCUAGAUGUUCUGGGCCGCACGCGCGCUACACUGAACAGUUCAACAAGUCUUAACCUUGGCCGAUAGGUCUGGGUAAUCUUUGAACGCUGUUCGUGAUUGGGAUAGACCUUUGCAAUUAUGGGUCUUCAACGAGGAAUUCCUAGUAAACGCAAGUCAUCAGCUUGCAUUGAUUACGUCCCUGCCCUUUGUACACACCGCCCGUCGCACCUACCGAUUGAAUGGUCCGGUGAAAUCUCGGGACGGCGGCUUGGUCGCUUGCGUCCGACUGCUGAAACUUGAUUAAACCCUUUCAUUUAGAGGAAGGUGAAGUCGUAACA
rnacentral:rRNA from 1 species